rnacentral:rRNA from 1 species
ACCCCACUGCUAUCGGGAUAGGACUAAGACAUGCUAGUCAAGCGCUUUCUAGCUAAUGUGAGAGCGCGGCGUACAGCUCAGUAACACGUGGCCAACCUGCCCUUGGGACGGGAACACCCCCGGGAAACUGGGGUUAAUUCCCGAUAGGUGAAGAAGUCUGGAAUGAUUCUUCGCUCAAAAGACGUUUAUGUCAUGCUCAUAUUCGUCGCCCAGGGAUGGGGCCGCGACCGAUCAGGUAGUUGGUGAGGCAAUGGCUCACCAAGCCUUUUACCGGUGCGGGCCGUGAGAGCGGGAGCCCGGAGAUGGGCACUGAGACAAGGGCCCAGGCCCCACGGGGCGCAGCAGUCGCGAAAAUUUUGCAAUACACGAAAGUGUGACAGAGCUAUCCCGAGUGCCAUCCGCUGAGGAAGGCUUUUACCCAGUAUAAAUAGCUGGGAGAAUAAGGAGAGGGCAAGUCUGGUGUCAGCCGCCGCGGUAAUACCAGCUCUCCGAGUAGUGUGGACGUUUAUUGGGCCUAAAGCAUCCGUAGCUUGCUAGAUAAGUCCUCUGUUAAAUCCACCGAUUCAAUCGUUGGAUUGCGGGGGAUACUGUUUGGCUAGGGGACGGGAGAGGUCGACGGUAUUUCCGGGGUAGGGGUGAAAUCCUAUAAUCCCGGGAGGACCACCAGUGGCGAAGGCUGUCGACUAGAACGCGCCCGACGGUGAGGGAUGAAAGCUGGGGGAGCGAACCGGAUUAGAUACCCGGGUAGUCCCAGCUGUAAACGAUGCAGGCUAGGUGUUUGGGCGGCCACGAGCCGCCCUAGUGCCGCAGGGAAGCUGUUAAGCCUGCCGCCUGGGGAGUACGGCCGCAAGGCUGAAACUUAAAGGAAUUGGCGGGGGAGCACCACAAGGGGUGAAGCUUGCGGUUUAAUUGGAUUCACCGCCGGA